AGGCUCAAUUAUGGCAGCUUUCUCAAAGGACUACAACCCUUCCCUUUGGCCGCGGUGCAUUUACUCUUGCUACAACCUGUACUCUCUUGACGGAGGCUCUCACGGUUCCCAAGCUUAUCUUGGCUGGUUGGCUGCCUUCACAGCAAAAUGCAAUGGUAUGUUUAGACAAAUUCUAGUGGACAUCUAUUUCCAUCUAUGUAUAUAUUUCUUUAAAUCCCCAUUUGUGGAAUUAUACUGGGUAUGUUGUUGUUUAUGUAUUUCUUUAAAGUAGCAGGUUAGUCUUCAGAUAAUUGAUAGGAGCCAGGUUGAUGUUUUACUUAUUGAAUGUAGAUGGUCACAUGAUUUUGGUGAAUGCUUUUUAUCCU